rnacentral:pre_miRNA from 1 species
AGAACCGUCGUAGUAUAUCUUAAAAACUAAGGCGGUCGUAUGAAUAGCCAUCAUAGAAUUUCAACAGCAAAAAUGCUAUUCUAAGACGGUUAUUCGAAUAACCGUCUUAAUUUCUAGGACAUACUACGACGGUUCU